rnacentral:rRNA from 1 species
GACGAACGCUGGCGGCGUGCUUAACACAUGCAAGUCGAACGGUGAAGCGCCUUCCUUUUUGGUGGGUGUGGAGGCGUGGCGAACGGGUGCGUAACACUUGAGUAACCUGCCCCCUUCUUCUGGAUAACCGCAUGAAAGUGUGUCUAAUACGGGAUCUUCUGGGUCUGUCGCAUGAUGGGUCUGGGAAAGCUAUUGUUUCGGUGGGGGCUGGGCUCGCGGCCUAUCAGCUUGUUGGUGGGGUGAUGGCCUACCAAGGCGGUGCCGGGUAGCCGGCCUGGGGGGGUGGCCGGCCUGAGUGGGACUGAGACCCGGCCGGGACUCCUACGCGGGCCAGACGCGGGGAGUAGUGCGCAGUGGGGGAUAGUCUGAAGCAGGCGGAACGCGGGUGGAGUGGAGCCGCUCGGGUGGUGACGGUCUUUCGGCAGUGAAGCAGGUCUGCCUGGUUUGUAGGGGGGUUGACGGUAGCUGGAAAAGAAGCGCCGGCUAACUACGUG